AGCUUUGCGCAGUGGCAGUAUCGUAGCCAAUGACGUUUAUCCGAGGUGCGAUUAUUGCUAU
rnacentral:snRNA from 1 species